rnacentral:lncRNA from 1 species
CCGUUCCUGUUUACAAACCAAAACCAAAGCCUCCUCCAGUUCCCGUCUACAAGCCCAAGCCUAAGCCACCUCCAGUUCCUACUUACAAGCCCAAACCAGAGCCUCCAGUUAAAAAACCAUGUCCCCCUUCAGUUCCAAAACCAAAGCCUCCUCCAGUUAAAAAACCAUGCCCCCCUAAAGUUCCAACUUACAAACCCAAGCCUAAACCAGAGCCACCAGUAGUAAAGCCACUUCCUCCACCAGUUCCAGUUUACAAGCCACCAGUAGUAAAACCCCUUCCACCACCUGUUCCAAUUUACAAAAAGCCAUGCCCACCAUUUCCACACCUUCCACCACUGCCACCAAUAGUGAAGCCACUUCCUCCUCCAGUUCCAGUUUACAAGCCACCAGUAGUAAAACCCCUUCCACCACCUGUUCCAAUUUACAAAAAGCCAUGCCCACCAUUUCCACACCUUCCACCACUGCCACCAAUAGUGAAGCCACUUCCUCCACCAGUUCCAGUUUACAAGCCACCAGUAGUAAAACCCCUUCCACCACCUGUUCCAAUUUACAAAAAGCCAUGCCCACCAUUUCCACACCUUCCACCACUGCCACCAAUAGUGAAGCCACUUCCUCCUCCAGUUCCAAUUUACGUGCCACCAGUAGUAAAACCCCUGCCACCACCCGUUCCAAUUUAUGAGCCACCAGUAGUAAAACCCCUGCCACCACCUGUUCCAAUUUACAAGCCACCAUUUUACAAAAAGCCAUGCCCACCACUUCCACCAUUCCCUAAAAUUCCUCCCUUCCACCAUCCUCUCUUCCCACCACUUCCACCUAAAUUUCCUCACCCAUAGACCAAACAUUAAAUUCAAGAGUUCCUUUGGGUGUAUGUAGGGCUGAAUCUUUUU